AGUCUUUGGUCCUUAAUUUGCAAACACUAAGUACACAAUAGGCACACAAACACAAAUAUGGUACAAGAACUCUCUGGAAGGUAGCAAAAGGCGAACGUAGAAUACGGUAGAAGCAGAAACGAAAUUGACUCCUAGAAAGAGUGAAGAACUGGAAGAUGCAGGAAUUCGGCAAGCACCACUAUUGAAGGCCCUGAUCGUAGCCAGUGUCCCUCUUAAAUACCAGUGACCCCAACGUGACCUUUUCUCCCUCUCCUCCCAGGGAGAGAGAGAAUGUUUAACUUUUUGUUGUUUCGAAUAUCAGUUGAUUGCCCGAUACUUGCACGUGUUCGCGCAAUAAACAACCCUCUGGAUAGGAGAUCGCGUAUUGAUCGAAAUACGACGGAGUGCGUCGUCAUAUCUCACCCUGUUUAUUAUGAAAAGGACUCACUUCUUAACCGUCAAAUUCCCUCUAUUUCUUCUAUUUCCCUCUUAUAUUAUUUUUAACUGCGGGUUACAAGCAUCGGUGGGGAAUGACGAAACGCAG
rnacentral:lncRNA from 1 species